rnacentral:rRNA from 1 species
UACGAAGGGGGCUAGCGUUGCUCGGAUUGACUGGGCGUAAAGAGCUCGUAGGCGGCUUGUCACGUCGGGUGUGAAAGCCCGGGGCUUAACCCCGGGUCUGCAUUCGAUACGGGCUAGCUAGAGUGUGGUAGGGGAGAUCGGAAUUCCUGGUGUAGCGGUGAAAUGCGCAGAUAUCAGGAGGAACACCGGUGGCGAAGGCGGAUCUCUGGGCCAUUACUGACGCUGAGGAGCGAAAGCGUGGGGAGCGAACAGG